rnacentral:rRNA from 1 species
UACGGAGGGUGCAAGCGUUAUCCGGAUUUACUGGGUUUAAAGGGUGCGUAGGCGGGCCCUUAAGUCAGUGGUGAAAGCUCCGAGCUUAACUCGGAAACUGCCAUUGAUACUAUAGGUCUUGAAUUCGGUCGAGGUUGGCGGAAUGUGUCGUGUAGCGGUGAAAUGCUUAGAUAUCAGGAGGAACACCGGUGGUGUAGACGGCUUUCUGGACCGACACUGACGCUGAGACACGAAAGCGUGGGUAGCAAACAGG